rnacentral:tRNA from 1 species
GCGGUCGUGGCGAAAUUGGUAUACGCGUUCGUUUCAGGGGCGGAUGAUGCAAAUCAUGUGAGUUCAAAUCUCAUCGACCGCACCA